UGGCAAGUCGCGACAACGGACACCACUCCACUCUCCAUAACAAACUCCACGUGGCCCUGAACGGCUCCCUGACGCCACUACUCUCCGUAACAAACUCUGCGUGGCCCCGAACGGCCCACUACCAGGCAGUUACAGACGUCACUGUCAAUCAGUUACGCUCUCCGUCUAUAAAAAGGGACCCUCAGAUACAUUCUUCUCUAAGCUCGA
rnacentral:lncRNA from 1 species